rnacentral:rRNA from 1 species
UACGGAGGAUGCGAGCGUUAUCCGGAUUUAUUGGGCGUAAAGCGAGCGCAGGCGGUUCCUUAAGUCUGAUGUGAAAGCCCACGGCUCAACCGUGGAAGGUCAUUGGAAACUGGGGAACUUGAGUGCAGAAGAGGAGAGUGGAAUUCCAUGUGUAGCGGUGAAAUGCGUAGAUAUAUGGAGGAACACCAGUGGCGAAGGCGACUCUCUGGUCUGUAACUGACGCUGAGGCUCGAAAGCGUGGGGAGCAAACAGGGAUUA